rnacentral:lncRNA from 10 species
CUAGUUCUCUUAAAGGCUGUUGAAAUAAUGUUCCCGUGCACUCAGCCUCCCCACUUAGUGCGGGUGGCGGCCAAGAGGAAGUGCUGGAAUCCUCGGUGGCCUAACCCCGGCCCUCAGGACAGAACAGAAGGCAGGCGGCCCCGGCCAGGACAUGCCCAGUGGAAUUUCAGAGGCACUUUCGGGAACACAGCGCCUUCGCACCUUCUGCUCGGUACACACCUCGAGGGGUGGCAGCCAGCUCUUGGCGGCCCACCCAGCACCCUGAAGCCUGAACUGCCUGGACUGUCGCUGAGCAAAUGCCAGGGCCCGAAGAGGACCUGGAAGAGGGCGGGUGAGGGGCUGCAGGCGUGUGGGGCCUGGAUGAUCCCAUCUUGACGACGAGCUGGGAACCGCAGACCGGUGUCAUCCUGGCUGGAGAUGGAGGUCUCUACAUGGCUCCCUGUGUGGCCAGACCACUGUGGCUGGACCAGAGUUUCCCGAUAGCCUCUGGGAAUGGCAGGGACAGUGGGGGAGGAGGUCCCAGGGGAUUUUAUUAACAGAAGGGGGGAGAGAGGGUAGAGAAAGGUAAUGGGAACAAGUAGCUGAAAAUAUGCCCUGGAGAGCAGGGGAGGAGGCUGAGCAGGCAACUUCAAAAGGGAUGGAAGAAAAUGGGGGCUGCGGAGAGUUGAAGAGUGACCCCAAAAGAUAUGUCCAUCCAGAACCUCAGAAUGUGACCUUGUUUGGAAUAAGGGCUUUUGAGGAUAUAAUUCAGCCCGGGGGCACAGGCACGCAGAAGAGACUUUCCCACAGCGGUUCCCAGAGCCCUGGAUGAGGCGUCCUCCAAAGGAUUAUGUCACCAAGUUUCUGCAGGUGGGCACGGCCUGACGACUGGAUUGUCCAACAAAACACAGAAAGUGUAGACAAGAGAACAGCAGAAAGUGACGCCUGCAGCCACAGAGAUGUGCUCCCAGUCUCCCUCUUUUCUGACUGCUGGGGGUGCACACCACAGCGAGGCCCAAGGGCUGUGAUGGAGGCCUAGGAUGGAAGGUGGCUGGUCCCUGAAUUACUUCUAGGAGAGGCACCAUCUGCUGAGCAGGAACCCCUGCCUGGGACAGUUGCAAGAACAAGAAAUCAGCUCCUUUUGUGCCAGAACCAGUAUGCAUGUUGAGGUCCAAUCCUACAGUUAGUGAUGUGGUAACAGAAAUGAGCUUUGUGCUUCCAUGCCCUGGGCAACUGCAGGCAGCUGAGGCCCCCAUCUGCAGGUGGUCUCUGCAGGCAGAGGGUUUCUGGUGAAGGGCCCUAUGGGGUUUCUGAUGAGGGCCCCACAGAAACCAGAAUCUCUUCCCUGCUGCUUAUUUCAAAUUCUGCUCGGUUGUCCCUUCCAGGCCAGGCGGGUAAUCUUGCUUGUGGCCACACUCCUCUUCCUGGGACCUGAGCCUGCCCUCCUGCUCCUGAGUAGUUCAUUGUGAUGCUGUCUGCUGUGGCUGUGGAGUGCUACGCGCUGGCCAGCCUGAGGGCGACCUGUACCGCCUUGGCCAAACCCUUUACCCCACUGAGAGAUACCUCCCUCAUCUGCAGCGAGAGUCCCUACCUUGUAGGGCAGUGUGAAGGAUGUCCUGAGAUGGUCAGGACUUAGCACCCUGUAAGCACAAGAGCUGUUCUUGGUGGCGUUAUGAUCACACCCACAGAUAGGGCCUCAGGCAGGCCUCAGUGUCCUCCUGGCUGGCCACGUGCUACGGAUGUCCCCAUGCACUUGAUGUGUCAGCAGCAGAAGGACCUUCAGGAGGAGGCAACGAUGGGAUGAGACGAGGCUCAAAGGAGGAUGUUGCCGCGCAGAGACGUUUCGGGAAUAUGAGGCAGGUCACCACCUAUGAUUCUUGUGGUAGUGGAGGAAUGGUGGCGGCUGUCAUUGUGACACCCACUUUAGAGACAGGAAACUGAGCUUCAGAGAGGGGGAGUCCAGGCCCCACAGCACACAGCCAGGAAAGGGCCGGGCAGAAGGGGCUUUGGGUUUUAACCUAACUCACCCCGACUGCCUGCUUCUUCACCCAGCCAUCAUGGAACGUCUCUGUGCCUCUUCCCUGCUCUCGUGGAGGCCUGGGUCAGGCAGCUGCCCAGAGGCAGACGUGCACUGUGACCCUAGAAGACUGUUCCAGACAGGCCAGCCCAGGCAGAGACAAAACAGGGACCUGCUCCUCAUUGGUGUCACGACCAAAUGCAGGGGAUUUGCUAAGGGAGGCGCAGCCAUGAAUUGGGAGCCAGCUUCGUGCUCUGCCACUCCUUCUUGCUAAUCCCUCGAAAAUCCAAUCAGAGCUGUUUCCCUCCAUGAAACCAACUGGACACAGCACAUACUGGCCGGACCUCUGCCAGCAUGGAGUGGAUCUUUUUUCUGUUUAAAGAACCAGGUUUCAAAUGUUCUUAAUAAAACGUUUAUAUAUAUCAUGCAGGGUGCAAAUAAAUAUUUUAAUAUAAUUGGAAGAAUGUAGAGAAUUGUAAAAAGUUAUGGAAGUUUUACUUCUGAUUGGCCAAGACUCAAUAAACUCUGGUUUGAUGUACUCUAAUUUAUAGGCGUGCAAAGCCAACUCUUUGGCAUCAGAGAGGCCGUUAACGUUGUAAUGAUGUUUAAACGCUGACAAAUGAGCUGCUUGGGCGGCACCUUCAGCCCUGAGAAUGGAACUGUUGGAGCUGGAGGACUUGCCUGUCCCCAGCUUUCUCCCUUCCUCCCGUGCUGGUGGAGCAGGUUAAGGGCAGGAGGACUGUUCAUUGGGGCGACUGCUCCCCAUCGGUUGAGGGGAGGGCACAAAGGGGACCCAUGGCUUCUUUUUCACUGUUGUCCCUAAUUAUGGUCUUUCUCAUUAAAAUAACAAGG